rnacentral:rRNA from 1 species
UACGAAGGGGGGCUAGCGUUGUUCGGAAUCACUGGGCGUAAAGGGCGCGUAGGCGGCCGAUCAAGUCGGAGGUGAAAUCCCUCGGCUCAACUGAGGAAUUGCCUUCGAUACUGUUCGGCUUGAGUCCUGGAGAGGGUAGCGGAAUUCCCGGUGUAGCGGUGAAAUGCGUAGAGACCGGGAAGAACACCAGUGGCGAAGGCGGCUACCUGGACAGGUACUGACGCUGAAGCGCGAAAGCUAGGGGAGCAAACAGG